CGGCUCCCCUUAAAUGGCAUCGGUUUCGGGUCUCUGUGGGAGUAACCCCUUGGGCGUUGUAUAACCCUCGCUGUCUGGGAACUCCACGCGCGUCCGCGUCGUUGAAGGGCCUUGAAGAAACCUCGACCUGCUGUAGAGUGGCGGUCAUUGUUAAAUCGAAAUCUGACCUCAAAUCAGGUAGGACUACCCGCUGAACUUAA
rnacentral:misc_RNA from 1 species